AACGAACGCUGGCGGCAGGCCUAAUACAUGCAAGUCGAGGGGCAUCGGGAGUAGCUUGCUACUUGCCGGCGACCGGCGCACGGGUGCGUAACGCGUAUACAAUCUACCUUUUGCUGAGGGAUAGCCCAGAGAAAUUUGGAUUAAUACCUCAUGGUAUGUAUUGAUGGCAUCAUCAUUAUAUUAAAGGUUACGGCAAAAGAUGAGUAUGCGUUCUAUUAGCUAGAUGGUGUGGUAACGGCACACCAUGGCAACAAUAGAUAGGGGCCCUGAGAGGGGGAUCCCCCACACUGGUACUGAGACACGGACCAG
rnacentral:rRNA from 1 species